rnacentral:rRNA from 1 species
AGGAUGAACGCUGGCGGCGUGCCUAACACAUGCAAGUCGAACGUCCUGUCUCGCAAGAGGCAGGGAGUGGCGGACGGGUGAGUACCACGUGGGUCAUCUACCGUGAGGUGAGGAAUACCGGCGAGAAAUCGCCGACAAGACCGCAUAGGCUCGAUGCAAGUCGAGCAAAGCUCUCUCGAGAGAGGGAGCGCCACACGAGGAGCCUGCGCCCGAUUAGCUAGCUGGUGGAGUAACGGUUCACCAGGGCGACGAUCGGUAGCUGGUCUGAGAGGACGAUCAGCCACACUGGGAUUGAGAACGGCCCAGACUCCUACGGGGGCAGCAGUGAGGAAUUUUCGUCAAUGGGGGCAACCCUGAACGAGCAACGCCGCGUGCAGGAAGAAGGCUUUCGGAUCGUAAACUGCUUUUCGUCGGGGAAGAGAACGGACGGUACCCGAGGAACUCGAGCCCCGGCUAACUACGUGCCAGCAGCCGCGGU